CCUACGGGCGGCAGUAGUGGGGAAUAUUGGACAAUGGGCGAAAGCCUGAUCCAGCCAUGCCGCGUGUGUGAAGAAGGCCUUCGGGUUGUAAAGCACUUUCAGUGGGGAAGAAAGCCUUGGGGCUAAUACCCUCGAGGAAGGACAUCACCCACAGAAGAAGCACCGGCUAACUCCGUGCCAGCAGCCGCGGUAAUACGGAGGGUGCGAGCGUUAAUCGGAAUUACUGGGCGUAAAGCGCGCGUAGGCGGUCUGAUAAGCCGGUUGUGAAAGCCCCGGGCUCAACCUGGGAACGGCAUCCGGAACUGUCAGGCUAGAGUGCAGGAGAGGAAGGUAGAAUUCCCGGUGUAGCGGUGAAAUGCGUAGAGAUCGGGAGGAAUACCAGUGGCGAAGGCGGCCUUCUGGACUGACACUGACGCUGAGGUGCGAAAGCGUGGGUAGCAAACAGGAUUAGAUACCCCAGUAGUC
rnacentral:rRNA from 1 species